UACGUAGGGCGCAAGCGUUGUUCGGAAUUACUGGGCGUAAAGCGCGUGUAGGCGGCUUUGCAAGUCGGGUGUGAAAGCCCUCAGCUCAACUGAGGAAGUGCGCCCGAAACUGCAGAGCUUGAGUACCGGAGAGGAUGGCGGAAUUCCCCAAGUAGAGGUGAAAUUCGUAGAUAUGGGGAGGAACACCGGUGGCGAAGGCGGCCAUCUGGACGGAUACUGACGCUGAGACGCGAAAGCGUGGGGAGCAAACAGG
rnacentral:rRNA from 1 species